rnacentral:hammerhead_ribozyme from 1 species
AUCCAUCUGACGAGUCCCGAAAAGGACGAAACACGCGUCCUGAGU